rnacentral:rRNA from 1 species
ACUUGCUUUCUUUGCUGGCGACCGGCGCACGGGUGAGUAACACGUAUCCAACCUACCCUUUACUCGGGGAUAGCCUUUCGAAAGAAAGAUUAAUACCCGAUAGUAUAAUGAUUCCGCAUGGUUUCAUUAUUAAAGGAUUCCGGUAAAGGAUGGGGAUGCGUUCCAUUAGGUUGUUGGUGAGGUAACGGCUCACCAAGCCUUCGAUGGAUAGGGGUUCUGAGAGGAAGGUCCCCCACAUUGGAACUGAGACACGGUCCAAACUCCUACGGGAGGCAGCAUG